rnacentral:rRNA from 1 species
AUUGAACGCUGGCGGCAGGCCUAACACAUGCAAGUCGAACGGUAGCACAGAGAGCUUGCUCUCGGGUGACGAGUGGCGGACGGGUGAGUAACGUCUGGGAAACUGCCCGAUGGAGGGGGAUAACUACUGGAAACGGUAGCUAAUACCGCAUAACGUCGCAAGACCAAAGUGGGGGACCUUCGGGCCUCACACCAUCGGAUGUGCCCAGAUGGGAUUAGCUAGUAGGUGGGGUAAUGGCUCACCUAGGCGACGAUCCCUAGCUGGUCUGAGAGGCUGACCAGCCACACUGGAACUGAGACACGGUCCAGACUCCUACGGGAGGCAGCAGUGGGGAAUAUUGCACAAUGGGCGCAAGCCUGAUUCAGCCAUGCCGCGUGUAUGAAGAAGGCCUUCGGGUUGUAAAGUACUUUCAGCGGGGAGGAAGGCGGUGAAGUUAAUAGCUUCACCGAUUGACGUUACCCGCAGAAGAAGCACCGGCUAACUCCGUGCCAGCAGCCGCGGUAAGAC